UUCUGUCCUGCUGUCUGUUCUCAGUCGGAGUCGACUCGCAGUGUGCCGGAGUCGACUCGAGCCUGUGCCAGAACAUCUGAAACACUUGGAGUCGACUCGAAAUCCUCCAGAGUCGACUCGAGUUUCAGCCUUUGACUUAAGUUGUUUUCCACAUGCACUCAAAGGAGGAUUCUUACAAAUUUUGCCUGAUAUACUGGAUUGAAUUCAUUAGUAUAACAUAAAAUGUACUCAAUGGCUUUGUGCUCAUCAAAAUCAAAUAGGGUUAUAAUCAAUCACUCCACA
rnacentral:lncRNA from 1 species